rnacentral:rRNA from 1 species
UACGGAGGGUGCAAACGUUGCUCGGAAUUAUUGGGCGUAAAGCGCACGUAGGCGGACCAUCAAGUCGGAUGUGAAAUCCCUCGGCUUAACCGAGGACGUGCAUUCGAUACUGAUGGCCUUGAGUACGAAAGAGGAUCGCGGAAUUCCCGGUGUAGAGGUGAAAUUCGUAGAUAUCGGGAGGAACACCAGCGGCGAAGGCGGCGAUCUGGGUCGAUACUGACGCUGAGGUGCGAAAGCGUGGGGAGAAAACAGG